AGCGAACGCUGGCGGCAGGCUUAACACAUGCAAGUCGAGCGCCCCGCAAGGGGAGCGGCAGACGGGUGAGUAACACGUGGGAACGUGCCUUUUGGUUCGGAACAACCCAGGGAAACUUGGGCUAAUACCGGAUAAGCCCUUACGGGGAAAGAUUUAUCGCCAAAAGAUCGGCCCGCGUCUGAUUAGCUAGUUGGUGGGGUAAUGGCCCACCAAGGCUACGAUCAGUAGCUGGUCUGAGAGGAUGAUCAGCCACAUUGGGACUGAGACACGGCCCAAACUCCUACGGGAGGCAGCAGUGGGGAAUAUUGGACAAUGGGGGCAACCCUGAUCCAGCCAUGCCGCGUGAGUGAUGAAGGCCUUAGGGUUGUAAAGCUCUUUUAGCAGGGAAGAUAAUGACGGUACCUGCAGAAAAAGCCCCGGCUAACUUCGUGCCAGCCGCCGCCGUAACAC
rnacentral:rRNA from 1 species